UUUUUUUUUUUUGGUUUUCUUCUCGUCAGAUGAACGCGGCGGCGUGCCUAAUACAUGCAAGUCGAGCGAACGGACGAGAAGCUUGCUUCUCUGAUGUUAGCGGCGGACGGGUGAGUAACACGUGGAUAACCUACCUAUAAGACUGGGAUAACUUCGGGAAACCGGAGCUAAUACCGGAUAAUAUUUUGAACCGCAUGGUUCAAAAGUGAAAGACGGUCUUGCUGUCACUUAUAGAUGGAUCCGCGCUGCAUUAGCUAGUUGGUAAGGUAACGGCUUACCAAGGCAACGAUGCAUAGCCGACCUGAGAGGGUGAUCGGCCACACUGGAACUGAGACACGGUCCAGACUCCUACGGGAGGCAGCAGUAGGGAAUCUUCCGCAAUGGGCGAAAGCCUGACGGAGCAACGCCGCGUGAGUGAUGAAGGUCUUCGGAUCGUAAAACUCUGUUAUUAGGGAAGAACAUAUGUGUAAGUAACUGUGCACAUCUUGACGGUACCUAAUCAGAAAGCCACGGCUAACUACGUGCCAGCAGCCGCGGUAAUACGUAGGUGGCAAGCGUUAUCCGGAAUUAUUGGGCGUAAAGCGCGCGUAGGCGGUUUUUUAAGUCUGAUGUGAAAGCCCACGGCUCAACCGUGGAGGGUCAUUGGAAACUGGAAAACUUGAGUGCAGAAGAGGAAAGUGGAAUUCCAUGUGUAGCGGUGAAAUGCGCAGAGAUAUGGAGGAACACCAGUGGCGAAGGCGACUUUCUGGUCUGUAACUGACGCUGAUGUGCGAAAGCGUGGGGAUCAAACAGGAUUAGAUACCCUGGUAGUCCACGCCGUAAACGAUGAGUGCUAAGUGUUAGGGGGUUUCCGCCCCUUAGUGCUGCAGCUAACGCAUUAAGCACUCCGCCUGGGGAGUACGACCGCAAGGUUGAAACUCAAAGGAAUUGACGGGGACCCGCACAAGCGGUGGAGCAUGUGGUUUAAUUCGAAGCAACGCGAAGAACCUUACCAAAUCUUGACAUCCUUUGACAACUCUAGAGAUAGAGCCUUCCCCUUCGGGGGACAAAGUGACAGGUGGUGCAUGGUUGUCGUCAGCUCGUGUCGUGAGAUGUUGGGUUAAGUCCCGCAACGAGCGCAACCCUUAAGCUUAGUUGCCAUCAUUAAGUUGGGCACUCUAAGUUGACUGCCGGUGACAAACCGGAGGAAGGUGGGGAUGACGUCAAAUCAUCAUGCCCCUUAUGAUUUGGGCUACACACGUGCUACAAUGGACAAUACAAAGGGCAGCGAAACCGCGAGGUCAAGCAAAUCCCAUAAAGUUGUUCUCAGUUCGGAUUGUAGUCUGCAACUCGACUACAUGAAGCUGGAAUCGCUAGUAAUCGUAGAUCAGCAUGCUACGGUGAAUACGUUCCCGGGUCUUGUACACACCGCCCGUCACACCACGAGAGUUUGUAACACCCGAAGCCGGUGGAGUAACCUUUUAGGAGCUAGCCGUCGAAGGUGGGACAAAUGAUUGGGGUGAGU
rnacentral:rRNA from 1 species